rnacentral:rRNA from 1 species
AUUGAACGCUGGCGGCAUGCUUUACACAUGCAAGUCGAGCGGCAGCGCGGGGCAACCUGGCGGCGAGCGGCGAACGGGUGAGUAAGGGAUAGGAACGUGUCCGGGAGUGGGGGAUAACUAGCCGAAAGGUUAGCUAAUACCGCAUAUCCUGUGCGCAGGAAAGCGGGGGACCCGAAAGGGCCUCGCGCUCGCGGAGUGGCCUAUCUCCGAUUAGCUAGUUGGUGAGGUAAAGGCUUACCAAGGCGACGAUCGGUAGCUGGUCUGAGAGGAUGAUCAGCCACACUGGGACUGAGACACGGCCCAGACUCCUACGGGAGGCAGCAGUGGGGAAUUUUGGACAAUGGGGGCAACCCUGAUCCAGCCAUGCCGCGUGCGGAAGAAGGCCUUCGGGUUGUAAACCGCUUUUAUUCGGAAAGAAGGAGUCGGGGUGAAUACCCCCGAUGACGGACGGUACCGGAUGAAUAAGCACCGGCUAACUACGUGCCAGCCGCCGCAGUAA